rnacentral:rRNA from 1 species
AUACGAAGGGCCCGAGCGUUAUUCGGAAUCACUGGGCUUAAAGCGUACGUAGGCUGGUAUAUAGGCGUCUUGUGAAAUCCCUCGGCUCAACCGAGGAACUGCAAGGCGAACCAUAUAUCUUGAGACAGACAGAGGUCGUCGGAACGAUUGGUGGAGUGGUGAAAUGCGUUGAUAUCAAUCGGAACGCCGAAGGAGAAGUCAGGCGACUGGGUCUGUUCUGACGCUGAGGUACGAAAGCGUGGGUAGCGAACGGGAUUAGAAACCCCUGUAGUCC